rnacentral:lncRNA from 1 species
UAUGAUAAUUAGACUGAGCUAGCAUAUAAGAAAUCCUAGUCAAUUGGCCAGCAGUAUGUUUUUUAAAGGAAAGUAGUGUUUCUUUCUUUUCUUUUUUAAGAUUUUAUUUAUUUUGGUUUUUCGAGAUAGCGUUUCUCUGUGGCUUUGGAGGCUGUCCUGGAACUAGACCAUAAAGGUCUAUUUCAAAUUAACAAAAUAUUUAUACCACUCAGUCUAUCCUAUAAGCCAUUUACAAAGGUACAGCUUUUAUUACAAAAAGGGAUUUUUCUCUAACUAAAGGCAAACUUUUAACUGCUGAGAUACUAAACAGACGACAGCCCUCAAAUGUUCAGAGAUCUAGAGAAUAUGGCAUUUAAAAUGUUUUGUUAAAAAGCUUUUUAUAACAGAGAGAUAGGCCAGCUGCCGGCCCUACCCCAUUUCCCCCCGAGAAGACAGAUGGGCACUGAAGAAGCUUCAUCUUGAGUCAGUGACAAGGCUAGUCACUGAGCAACCCUGCCCUUCACCUCAACUGCUACAACGUAUUCCAGACCAUGGACAAGAUGACAGUGGAAUCGACUUUCCCCGCAUUGCUUGGGACAACGUUCCAGGGAGCUGGACUGCAUCCAAACAAACAGGUCUAAGAGACAUCAGGGAGUUCCAUACAGCCUGGACUGCAAUGAAACAACCAGCUACUCCAGGACGUGGCAGCACCCCAACCUUCUUGGGUCCCCCAAAGAUGGUCAACGCCUCCCAUGUCAGCAGGAAGCAGUCUUGAGAAUUCAACGCCCUUAUUCCUUAACCUGCCAUGUCUAAACACCCCACCUUUUUUUUAAUAAUAAGUAGAGGUGGGAAUGAAAGGUUCAGGCAUUAUGCUGGCCUGCCCCUGUUACCUGGUGGAACAGGCAGUACUCUGGUCAGCCCAAGGUUCCAUGGGAACUAAGUCUGCACGCAGGUGCAGAGGACCCCUUUAAAAGAUAGGUCCCUGCCCAUUUACACUCUCUCUGUUUCCUCUCUGUUUCCCUGCUCUGCUUUGUCUCUGCUUUCUCUCUACUCUGUCUCCCACCUAUGUGCUUGCUCUGUCUCUCUAUGGCAACCGGCCAUGGCGGUCAGCCACUACCCUGUUCCUCUUCUCUUAGUCUCCCUACUCUGCCGGGCCUCAUAAUAAACUUAUAGUCAAUAUGUCUCAUGUCUCAGCAUUUCUCUUUUCUUCUUUUUAAACAAAAGAGUAACAACC